GAGAACUCGUCCUAUUCAUUUCUUCUUUUCUAAUUUUCUACACUUGUGAUAAUAUCAACAAGUAGAAUUUGAUCUUUGGGUGUGACAUCCAGGCAAGACAAGCUUCCUUUCUGUUGAUGUAGAGUACGUAUGAGGAUGUACCACCAUUGGAAAUAUGAAACGCUAAUUCUUGAGAUGCAUUAAGCGGAGUAAGAUAGUGUAAUGUAAGUUGUUCAAUUUGACGCAUAAACAACAUCUACAAUGGAUGUUUCAUACACAAUGGAACAUUUAAAAGUAAAAUAACAAGAAGUUUAGAUGGUAUCCCAACCAAUCUUAAAUUGCAAUUUGAUCGAUACAUCAAUUGCACACGUCUCUUAAAUCAUCUGCGGUGGAGCACCGACUAUGCUAUAAAGUGAAUCUCAGAGAACUACUAAAAGGAUGGAGCAAUUCGUGAAUGAAACAUAUAUCAUAAUCAAGGUUAAUAAGGACAUAAUUGGAGAUACUCCUGCAAAUUCAUCCAUCUUCAAGUUUAUCGGUUUAUUGGUUUGAGAAGGCUGAUGGAUUUUCAAGAGUAUUUCAAGGCAUGUACUUAAUAUAUCAAGUAAAAAUAUUUGCUACUAGUGUUGUGUAAAUAUCUCCACUGUUUGUGCUUGGAAGUUAAAUGGCACUAAGGACAAUGGUAUUUUUCUAGACAAUUAUUUUUGGGUAAAUUAAUAAUUUACAUUCCUUAAUUAACUAAUUAUCAUCGCUAAAUAGGAAAAAUCCUAAGCGUGUAUCGCUUUAAAAAUG